rnacentral:lncRNA from 1 species
AUGGUGGACGGAUCACUCAUCUUUUUGACAUCCUGGAUGCACCAUGACUUCGCUGUGACAGUGUGCUCACAGACAUUGCUUAGCUCCCCACCUUCUUUUCCUGCCAGAAGCCACUGCACUCCUGUUAACACCACAUUCUACCGAGAAUGGAGCAGAAAAGAUUGCAGUGCAUCUCUGUGCCUUCAGUUGACUUCGGGUCUCAUUUCCAUCACCUCCCUGACCCGACACAGAGCCUGCAAACACAUCUCAGUGACGUUUCUCUAUGGAUACACAGACAUCAGCCAGUACAGAGGGUGGCUAGAGCUGGUCCGCACAGCUAGCUGUAACUCAGAGAACCCAUCCCAUCAUUCCAGUCAGUGGCGUGGCAUCAUCUCUGCUUUGUGACUGGAGUGCAAGCUCUUCUAUGCGUAUGGAAGAUGAAAGAUUCCCAAGUGAAUGCUUAUUUGGUCUGCCAAAUGUCAUUUGAAAUUAUAUUUGUGCUACAGUUUACAAAGACUCCACAUGUCACAGGCCUAUCUUAUGCACUUCUCUAAAUAAUUGUAGAUGAAACAAGGCAUGGUCAGAGCCAAGUGCCAAAUGAGUUAUGAC